rnacentral:rRNA from 1 species
AUGGCGUCGACAUGGAUGGCACGUGGCCUGCAGGCGCUACUGCUUCUGUUGGCGCUUCUGCUCGUCCCCCGCGGCGGCGAUGGCGCCGCGGUGUUCUCCGGGUACACGUUCAAGGGGCAGGGCGAGGCCGAGGCCUUCGAGGAGGACACGCUCUACGCGCACUCGCUCCGGCAGUUCUAUCGGGACUGCCGCGUGUCCGGCACCGUGGACUUCGUCUUCGGCAACGGCAUCGCCGUGAUCCAGCGCACCACCCUCGCCACGCUGCCGCUGGCGCCGGGGCAGACGGGGAGUGUCACGGCGCAGGGCCGCAAGGACCCGAACCAGAACACGGGGUUCUCCAUCCACAACUGCGUCGUGGAGGCCAAGUACCCGACCUACCUCGGCCGACCGUGGAAGCCAUUCUCGCGGGUGGUGGUCAUGGAGUCGUACCUGGGUGCCGGCGUGCGCACGCGCGGGUGGCUCGAGUGGGCAGGGGACGCCGGCCUCGCCACCCUCUUCUACGGGGAGUACAGAAACUUUGGGCCCGGCGCGGGGGUAGCCGGGCGGGUAAAGUGGCCGGGGUACCACGUGAUCAUGGACCCGGCAUGGGCCAGCCACUUCACCGUAAGGCGGUUCAUCGACGGCCUGACAUGGCUGCCGUCCGCCGGCGUCACCUUCACGGCCGACUUGAUCAAGAAAUGA